rnacentral:rRNA from 1 species
AUUGAACGCUGGCGGCAUGCCUUACACAUGCAAGUCGAACGGCAGCACGGGAGCAAUCCUGGUGGCGAGUGGCGAACGGGUGAGUAAUAUAUCGGAACGUGCCCAGUGAUGGGGGGAUAGCCCGGCGAAAGCCGGAUUAAUACCGCAUACGACCUACGGGUGAAAGCAGGGGAUCGCAAGACCUUGCGUCAUUGGAGCGGCCGAUAUCAGAUUAGCUUGNGGUGGGGUAAAGCCUACCAAGGCGACGAUCUGUAGCUGGUCUGAGAGGACGACCAGCCACACUGGGACUGAGACACGGCCCAGACUCCUACGGGAGGCAGCAGUGGGGAAUUUUGGACAAUGGGCGCAAGCCUGAUCCA